UACGGGGGGAGCAAGCGUUGUCCGGAUUUACUGGGCGUAAAGGGCGCGUAGGCGGUCAGCACAAGUCAGUUGUGAAAUCUCCGGGCUUAACUCGGAAAGGUCAACUGAUACUGUGCGACUAGAGUGCGGAAGGGGCAACUGGAAUUCUCGGUGUAGCGGUGAAAUGCGUAGAUAUCGAGAGGAACACCUGCGGCGAAGGCGGGUUGCUGGGCCGACACUGACGCUGAUGCGCGAAAGCCAGGGGAGCGAACGGG
rnacentral:rRNA from 1 species